UGGGGAAUUGUUCGCAAUGGGCGCAAGCCUGACGACGCAACGCCGCGUGGAGGAUGAAGAUCUUCGGGUCGUAAACUCCUGUCGAGCGGGAAGAACACCUUCUGGACUAACACCACAGAGGGCUGACGGUACCGCUAAAGGAAGCCCCGGCUAACUCCGUGCCAGCAGCCGCGGUAAUACGGGGGGGGCAAGCGUUGUUCGGAAUUACUGGGCGUAAAGGGCUUGUAGGCGGCCAACUAAGUCAGACGUGAAAUCCCUAGGCUCAACCUGGGAACUGCGUCUGAUACUGGUUGGCUUGAAUCCGGGAGAGGGAUGCAGAAUUCCAGGUGUAGCGGUGAAAUGCGUAGAUAUCUGGAGGAAUACCGGUGGCGAAGGCGGCAUCCUGGACCGGCAUUGACGCUGAGGAGCGAAAGCCAGGGGAGCAAACGGG
rnacentral:rRNA from 1 species